GACCAUCCAUCUCGCCACGACCAUCCAUUUCGCGUGUCAUAGGUGGCGUGGGUUACUGAUCAGGUGGGCGAUGGAUUUUGUCGCGUCUUUCAGAAUUUGAGGAAACACGCGGCUUGCUCUAUCAUGUCCCCUUUCCCCAUUCCCGUCCUGUCACUCAUCCCGGCGACGAGUAAAUCUCGCAACCCAAUCCCUCUUGAAUCCCUCGUGAGCGCAGGCGGCGGGGAGAGCCGGCGACCGCGGUGACGACCCGACGAAGGAUCCCGCAUUUCAACCGUGCAAGGGGGCGUCGGCGGCUCGGCCCGUGUGUGGUAGAAGAAGGAGAAGGUACCGGCAACGGGGAGGGAGUGGAGCUGGUGGUUCGGCGCGAGGUGGCGACGACCCCACCUAAGAUCGAGAUCCUGUUGCUUCGACGACAGAGAGGCAAACAUGGAACAAAAAUAGUGAAAACUAGGCACCACCACCCUGAGACGACAGUUUUUAAGAUGGAGGAUGUCCUAAAUCAACACAACGGCAAGGUAUGGAUUCAGGCAAAAAACCUACAAUCUAGGGACCAGUACAAACAAACGUCAUGGAUGGGAUCAAUGCUGGGGGGUUACAAAGUCGUAGAUGCCUAAGGAAGAAGCAGGUUCAGGAAGGAAGGAACAGAGCAUCUCCUGCAAGGCUUGUUAGGCUAAAUAAGAUCCUGGACCAAACGCAAAGGGAUCUGAUCGAAAAUGAAUAUUUCAUGGGAGGUAUCGUGAAGAUUGAGACAACAACAAUGCCUGCUGAUCUCAGUAGGUGGGUCUUACAGAGGUACAAACAAAGAGCGAGUGUAUAGAAGUCCCAGGGAGGGGUGAGAUACCCCUAACAGCUGAUAGCGUUCACCAAACACUGGGCCUACGCAAUUCGGGCGAUGAGGUGUUCUAUGGGUGGGAUGCAGAAGCCAUAUCGUUCAUAAACAACAAGUAUGGGUUCGAAAGUGGCAGCGCCCGAGAGAUAACAACCUUCUGUAAGAUGAUUGAAGACAUGAAUGGAAGAGCAGAUGAUGAUUUCAUGCGCGCCUGGUUGAUUGUGGUGGUCAGCACGUUCAUGUGCCCCACGACGAGCCUUCAUGUCAGCCCUCGAUGCUAUCCAAUAGUCGCUGACCUGGAUAAAGUAAAGAGGCUAAACUUUUGUUCCUUCACGGCAAAUCAGAUAAGGUAUUCAUUAGGAUUCAUGAGUAGGAAGAAGAAGGCAGUAAAUUGCUGCGUGCACCAUAUGGUGGUUUUGUAUGUUGAUUCACUGGUGGUCGACAUUCAAGUACCAGAUUGCCCAGCCCUGGCAGAAGCUUGGGACAACAAGUGCAUAGUGCAAUUUGCAAAUUCUGACAAAAAACUAGAGGGAGGUUACGGCAAGCUGAGAGUGAACUUUUUUGUAUCUCUUCAAUAAUUUUAUCGUCGUGUUAAUGUAUUCGUCUAGUUCUAUUUUAAGUUCCAACGCAAAAUAAACUCAGACAAGAAAUAAACUCAGUUCCAACGCAAAAUAAACUUAGACAAAAUAAAUUGGUUUCAAGGAACAGGGCUGAUGUGACGACCAAGGAUUGUUCAGCAAGUGGGGCGGAGCCGGCCAAGGAUAGUGCAAAUCAUGGCAAGUACGCAGAGGAAAGCCACGCAAACAUGACACGCAAGGAGCUUCCACGAAGACGAGAGCACCAAGAGGGUUAUCUUCGCAUCAAUGAAGCCACACAACCUAGAUGUUUCUCUGUCAGAAACUGGAGAUGAUUGGGGGCUGGACCUGGACCCCGAAGUGUUGCAGGAAGUGUGUUAUAAGGCAAAAAUGGAGUUUGCAAAGAGAAAAGAAAAGGAAAGGUCGGAGAUGCAGGAGGGGACUUCAAAGCAAAGGCGAUACAGUGAUCAAGAUGUGAAAACCCCAGCUCAAACAACAACAACAACAACAAGAACAACAACAGUAGGUAUUGCUAGCUCAUCACGGACACCAGGAGCUGCUGGACAUGAAAGGAGAGUUGUAAGGGUGCCAGCGCAACUGAGGUCACCAUACAUCGACCUUCAAAACACAGAUCCAUUGUACUGUUCAAAGGAAGUAUGCGACAUAUACGAUGUUGUGUGUCAGCACUCCACACAAACAACCAGGAGCAAGGGGAAACUAACUGACAACAGACAACCAAUUAUAAACUAUGAUGAGUUCUUCAUCAGCCGCAAUGAACUUGCGAACUCCAUGGCGCCUGAAAAGAAGAUGGACAACCUAGUGGCUGAGAUUGCAAUCAUUUCUUUGAUGGGACCAGAAAUAAGGCCAAAGAAGAGAAUAAUGCCACUACAAAUAGCUACAUACUUCCAGAACAACUGUUUCAUCAGGAGUGACAUCGACAAACAUUUUGAAAACAACACACAGAGGCUAAACCGAUGUGAAUCAAUUCUUGAUAAGGGGAAUCCAAAAGACACGGGCCACUACUGGGUGUUGGUGUUGAACAUUAGGGAGAAGCAUUUCGAAGUGCUAGAUUCAACAAGGACAAUGAAAGACAAGGCGUUCCUGGCAACAGCAUUGAAGAUCAUUGAUGGGAUUAAAGCAAAUUAGGGGAGGCACUACAAUACCUCAAGCGUUCAAAUUAACGAUUGGGGACUACAAGAAAUCAAAUGCCCCAGAGAGGAUAACGGGUGCAUAGAUCAUCGAUGCCAAAGAGUGCUACGCCAGAAGUAUACGACGAGUGGCCGGAGUGUCAGGCCCAGGUGUACCGGUUUCCGGCUUCCGAGCAACAGCCAGUAGUUACUUUAGGUUCACACUAGUGCUAGAGAGGGAUACGAACCGACGCCUCAAGAAGUACUACAUUAUGUAUGAUGAGACAUGUCAUGUAACUUGUAUAGCUAUAUCGUGAUUAUGAUGUGACGACAUGAUUUGUGUUGGAUGAUGUGAUGAGACUAUUACGUGUAUGAUAUGAUGAGCAUAUUGCAUGUUUAUGAUAUGAUUAGAAUAAUGUAUGAAACCUGUAAA